rnacentral:misc_RNA from 1 species
AACAUCGCGCACCUGCGGGAACCUGCGGAAGGAUCAUUAACCGUUACAAACAGUGUGUGCUGCGGCCCCCGAGGUGAGGCAACGAGCCUUCGGGAGGUCUGGGGUCCGCCCCUUCACGCGCACGCGUCUGCCAUCCUUACUUUACGAGCACCUUCUGUUCUCCCUCGGCAUGCGUCCUGCGCUGCCGUUGGAAUUACAAAACUCUUUUUUGCAUCUAGCAUUACCUGUUCCGACAAUAAC